AGGCGCAAAAACCUCGUAAAUCUGGUGAGGCGCAAAACCUCGUAAACCUGGUGAACCUGGUAAAUUUGGAGAUGUUGAGAUAUCCUGGUGUUGUAGUAUAUAUUUUGAAUUGGUCUUCUUAUAGCUCUGAACUUUGAAUUUUGUUGAUACACUGAUGUUUGGGUGGGAAUUCGCGUGAGACCUUGUUCACACCCCUUUUGAAAAUUCUGAAUUCUUCCACUGAUGUACUUUCCUUGAACUGAUUUCACGAAUUCUUGUUGAAUGGUUGCGAUGCAUGGUAUGCUAUGCCUUUUUUUUUUUUUUUUAUGAUGAAGCAUGCAUGAUGCAUGAAUGUAUAGGUGAAAAUUCAAAUGAGACCUAAAUAUUUUAUCAUAUUUCCGGUUUCAUUUUAAUUAAUUCCACGACAUCCUUUAAGAACAAACACGCGCCCAGUGAAUCUGCCUGUGAUGCUCAUUAUUUUCGGGAGGCAAUUUUGAAAAUUAAGAGAUGAAAAAGAUUUAUAAUACAAUAUUUCAAUUCCAAUUUAAGAGCAUUCCCUAUCAUGGAAUCAUUGUGCAUAGGAUUUUUUUUACUGUGUCAGAAUUAACUGGCAAAGGUAACUCCUCUCCAUUCAUUCCUGUGAGAAUAAGUGCCCCACCACCAAAUGCCUUCUUUACCACAUACGGG
rnacentral:lncRNA from 1 species